AGUUAGAAAGAAAUUGAGAGGUUUAGGUUCCUUUCUGUUCUGGUGGUGAGUGCCCCAAGCAAAAUUAUAAAUGUAAUCGUCACACUCCUUCUCAGCAUCCUGACCCCCAUCUGCAGCAGAGAAGUUUUCAUGACUGGAUUAAGCUAAGAUAGCAAUUCCUACCAUUUAACCAUAGCCAUGGGUCCCUGCUCUCCAUGCUGAGUAGAAUCUGCUCAUGCAUCCAGCAUAAAACUUCCUCAUGUUUUGAUGUGUUAAUUUUCAGCAAUAUUAGCAAGCUAAUCUAGUCCACCACAGACUCCAACAACUCCUCAGUGUGUCAAAGGAAAAAAUGUCUCAUGGGGAAUUAUCGCCAAGGAUGAACUGGGGGAGUAAACAGUCUUUUUGGUGACACAGUAGUCCAAAUUCAGUUCAACCCAAUAGUGAAACUGGGGACCUGAAUCUGUGUUUGUCCAUUUCUUCUUUAACUUCCACCACAAUAUCAUCUCUGUAGACUUGUCACCCUCACAUACCUUUUUGGAACUGCAGCUUUGGUGAUUACUGGGUGGUGACAGGUCCUCCCCAGUUAAAUCCAUGCAGCUCUGCUCUUAAAGUUUGGAACACCAGCAAUGAAAUGGUUUUAUAGAAGUGUGUAGAAUGUGCCAGUGAAGACCAGAUGGAUAAAAACCAAAGUGGACUUCUUAUAUUCUCUUGCAGUUUCAUCUCAAUACUUUAUGACUCAAGUCUGAGAAUAAGGUGAAACUUCUUUAGAAAUUCAGCAGUUUCUUGAUUUAAGGGACAUCUAGCCUGAAAAACAUCCUCUGUCUGCUUUAAAGAACAGCUACGUCCAUCAUUGCAAGUACAUCUUUGCUAUGAACCACCAGAUAUGCUAUAGAACAGAUGGAGAAGCAGAAGUCGCAGAGAUGUCUUGCAGUUAGUAAAAUUUUGGGGAUUUCUCCAUGAAGUUUUCUGGAAUAAAGCAUUCUCCUUGACUUAAA